rnacentral:rRNA from 1 species
UACGGGGGAGGCAAGCGUUGUUCGGAAUUACUGGGCGUAAAGGGCUCGUAGGUGGCCAACUAAGUCAGACGUGAAAUCCCUCGGCUUAACCGGGGAACUGCGUCUGAUACUGGAUGGCUUGAGUUUGGGAGAGGGAUGCGGAAUUCCAGGUGUAGCGGUGAAAUGCGCAGAUAUCAGGAGGAACACCAAUGGCGAAGGCAGCUCGCUGGGACGGUACUGACGCUGAGGCGCGAAAGCGUGGGGAGCAAACGGG